UUAAAAUAUAAUAAUAAAAUGCUUGAGUAGUAAUAGUUAUAUUCUUGAAACUUAAAGAAUUUGGCGGUGUUUUAGUCUAUUCAGAGGAAUCUGUUGUGUAAUCGAUAAUCCACGAUGGACCUAACUUAAUUUUGUUUAAUUUGUAUAUCGCCGUCAUCAGAAUGUCUUAGAAGAGAGAUAAUUUUCUUAAAUUAUUAAUAUAAAUAAUGUCAGGUCAAGGUGCAGUUUAUGGUUAAGUAUUAAUGGAUUACAAUAAAAAUAUUUAUAUGGAUAAUUAUUUGAAAUAAAUGGUUUAAAGGUGGAUUUGAUAGUAAUAAUUUAAAGAUUAAAAUUUUGAUUAUAGCUCUAAAACAUGC
rnacentral:rRNA from 1 species